rnacentral:rRNA from 1 species
UACGUAGGGUCCGAGCGUUGUCCGGAAUUAUUGGGCGUAAAGAGCUCGUAGGCGGUCUGUCGCGUCGGCUGUGAAAACCUGGGGCUCAACUCCGGGCCUGCAGCCGAUACGGGCAGACUAGAAUUCGGUAGGGGAGACUGGAAUUCCUGGUGUAGCGGUGAAAUGCGCAGAUAUCAGGAGGAACACCGGUGGCGAAGGCGGGUCUCUGGGCCGAUAUUGACGCUGAGGAGCGAAAGCGUGGGGAGCGAACAGG